AAAUUCUUGUCUUAGAUUUGUCUAGAUACGGAUGUAUCAAGUCACAUUUUAGUAUUAGAUACAUCCGUAUCUAGACAAAUCUAAGACAAGAAAUU
rnacentral:pre_miRNA from 1 species